GAAGCCAGCAGCUCGGCUCUUACAGUCUGAGCUGGGAGGAGCAGCUCAGCUGGAGCCCAGGUAGGAGAAGUGCCUGAAGCCGGUAGCACUAGGGCAGCUCGGCUCUUAAACAGAGCCGAAGAGUCAGGGAGCAGCAGCAGUCGCCAGAGCCUGCUCUAAGGUGGAUUACCCUGAGUGAGACACCGAAUUGGAGUGAUGUGGAACCUUGUAUCAAGUACCUGACCGAUAAGGGGAUGCAAAUUGAUGACAUGAAGUGUUUUGAUCAGUUCAGCAACCUGAAGAAGUUUACAGAAAGUUGCAACAGUGAUGAAGAGUUCAGUAAUUUGCUAGCACACCAGAAGUGGACCAAAUAUUUUGAGAAAUCCAAAAACAUUGAGUGUCAUUCAGAACUGUUAAAGAUUGCACAGUUUUUCUUUGCUAUUCCUUCUCACAAUGCAAAUGUAGAGCGAAUUUUUUCACUGAUGCAAAGCCAGUGGACAAAGGAAAGGACCAACUUGAAUGUUGAGUCGUUGAAAGGAAUUCUACUUGUACAGUACAACUUCAGACAAACUUCUUGUAAAGACUUUCAUGCCUUCUUAAAGAGCAAUCAACCACUGCUGAGAAAAAUGCGAUCUGCAGAGAAGUAUGCGUGGGCACAUGAGGAGAAAGAAAACUGAAGAACUGGUGAAAGGAAAGGACUCACUACAUAUAAAGAAUUACGUUUUAGAAUUAAAGAAUUAAAUAGCUCAAAAUGUCCGGGAUUUUACCCGGCAGGGAGGAGAACUGGGUGCUCCAAGGCAUCUGGGGAGCUGGGAAACAGAACAGUGUGAGCUGCGUGUCCUGACCGCUCCCAAAAACGGAGCGCUGGGGCAGAUCCUCCACUGAGCAGCUUCAUUAAAGUCAUGGGAGUCUAUA